AUACAGCUGUCAGCCUUACUACAAGAUGGAGGGAGAACGGUACAGAAUUUGCAGAAACGGUAUCUGGACUGGACAAAUGAGAUGCAUCAAACCCUGCUCUGUGACUGAAGAUGACUUAACUAGACACAGCAUUGACCUCAAGAAUAAAAACUCAGAUACGACGUAUGUAAAGCAUGAAGAUUACAUUGAAUUCAAUUGUAAACCAGGAAAAGCGCGUGUUGGGAAUGUUGCAAUGCGUCAGAGGUGUGAUGAUGGUGUGAUGACCCUGCCCACCUGCCAGUAGAGGUUUUACUGAGUUCAGUUUGAUUAACAUGAACACACAAAUAUGCAAACGAUUAAUCAGGAUUAUCAGGUCAUUGUAUGAACCCCACCCCCGUUUUUUUCUGUCAAAUACUGUACGUAAUGAAUAUUCACAUCUAAUAAAACAUUGUAUAUUUGAA